rnacentral:rRNA from 1 species
AAGCGUGGGGAGCAAACAGGAUUAGAUACCCUGGUAGUCCACGCCCUAAACGAUGCACACUAGUUGUUGCUAUGCUAGACAUAGCAGUAAUGCAGUUAACACAGUAAGUGUGCCGCCUGGGGAGUACGGUCGCAAGAUUAAAACUCAAAGGAAUAGACGGGGACCCGCACAAGCGGUGGAGCAUGUGGUUUAAUUCGACGAUACGCGAAGAACCUUACCUGGCCUUGACAUAGGAAGAACUUACUAGAGAUAGUUUGGUGCUAGUUUACUAGAACUUCCAUACAGGUGCUGCACGGCUGUCGUCAGCUCGUGUCGUGAGAUGUUGGGUUAAGUCCCGCAACGAGCGCAACCCUCGUGUUUAGUUACUAACAGUUCGGCUGAGGACUCUAGACAGACUGCCUGGGUAACCAGGAGGAAGGUGAGGACGACGUCAAGUCAUCAUGGCCCUUACGGCCAGGGCUACACACGUGCUACAAUGGGGUAUACAAAGAGCAGCGAUACCGCGAGGUGGAGCAAAUCUCAUAAAAUAUCUCCCAGUUCGGAUAGCAGUCUGCAACUCGACUGCUUGAAGUUGGAAUCGCUAGUAAUCGUAGAUCAGCAAUGCUACGGUGAAUACGUUCCCGGGUCUUGUACUCACCGCCCGUCACACCAUGGGAGUUGAACUCAUUCGAAGCGGGGAUGCUAAAGUAGCUACCUUCCACAGUGGAUUCGGCGACUGGGGUGAAGUCGUAACAAGGUAGCCGUCCCUA